AUGUUUCCAGACUGUGCCAAGCAAUUCAAAGAGGUCAAGAAUCAUGCUUCCGGUGAAGAAACAGAGUUACUAAUAGAAGAGCUAAAGCAGAGAGAGGAGGAUGCAACAGAAGCUCAGCAACAAGCCGAUGUAAAGUUGCUCGAGGCUAAAAAACUAGCUUCGCAGUAUCAAAAGGAGGCUGACAAAUGCAGUUCAGGUAUGGAUACAUGUGAAGAAGCUAGGGAGAAGUCAGCAGAGUCGCUGCUCGGUCAAAGGAAAUUAACUGCUUUGUGGGAGGAAAGAGCUCGGGAACUUGGAUGGAAACCCGGGAAUGUCAAACCACACCUGAAUCAGUAA
rnacentral:rRNA from 1 species